rnacentral:rRNA from 1 species
UACAGAGGGGGCAAGCGUUAUUCGGAAUUAUUGGGCGUAAAGGGCGCGUAGGCGGCUUGGCAAGUGGAAGGUGAAAUCCCUCGGCUUAACCGAGGAACUGCCCUCCAAACUGCUUUGCUUGAGGCCGGGAGAGGCGAGUGGAAUUCCCAGUGUAGCGGUGAAAUGCGUAGAUAUUGGGAGGAACACCAGUGGCGAAGGCGGCUCGCUGGACCGGUUCUGACGCUGAGACGCGAAAGCGUGGGGAGCGAACAGG